CCUUCAAAGAUGGUCACAUUGGGUCAGGUAGUUCUACUUCUCUGGGAAUGCGUUCAUGUUAUAGAGGUGACACAGUCUUCAGCCAUACGUCUGGACAGUCAUCUCAAGUCCGUAGCUGUUGGAGACACAGUGACUCUUUACUGCUUCUACCAAGACUUUACGGCAACGCAAUAUUUUUCUUGGUACCGGCAAACCCUAGGAGAUGAACCACAGCUGGUAUCUAUAAUGUAUAAGUAUAAACAAAAAGCUAGACUGCACAAUGAGUUUAAGGACGAUCCUCGCUUCUCUGUGCAAUGUGAUAAAGGAACAAAUCACCUGACAAUCUCAGAUGUCCAACCUUCAGAUUCAGCUAUGUAUUUCUGUUCUAAAACAUACGUUAAUACACUGGAAUUUUCUGAUGGUGUCUUCCUCAAUGUAAAAGGUCCAGAUUCCAAUACCAAAGAAGUUGUCCAGCAGCCAGUCUCUGAGUCCAUCCAGCCAGGAGGCUCUGUUACUCUAAACUGUACAAUACUCAGUGAGACCUGUGCAGGAGAACGUAGUUCCACAGUGGGUUAA